AAAACACAAAACAUCUCGCCCACCCUCAUCUACCUCGACAUCUCUCCCAAAUUCACACACUCAACCCAAAACCUGACAUCUCUCCUCUCUCAGCCUCGUCAGCGUCGUCGGAGACGGCGACGAAGCUCUCGGCGAGCUAGCCUCUCUUUUGAUUCGUCUCUUUAGAGGUGACUACAAUACGACUUGGAGCUUUGAUUUUCUGAAGAUAUUUCUCUCAAGGUGGAGAAAGAAUGAAGGCUAAGAAGAAGAGCUCUCUUCCAGCAGACUCGGCGAAAGAGCAACAUAAGAAGCAAAAGGGGAAGGGGAAGAUGAAGGUGAAGAAUCAAGGCAGUUCCAUAUAACAUUGGAUUUUUACAAGUGGCUACUCUAUCGCUACAGGCUCACUAGGAAAAUUCCUGAGGUUAUUUGUUUAAUGCAGGUGCUUGAUGUUCUGGAUUUGAGUGAGAAUGAACUUGUAAGCCAAUCCCACAUAUACUGAAAUCUACCGUACAUUGGGAAACUAUUCUUGCAUGGUAACAAGUUGACUGGGACUAUUCUACCCGAGCUUGGCAAUAUGUCAAAACUUAGCUACUUGAGUUAGGUUGGUUUGAGAUGCAAUCUCCAAAGGAAGAGAUGGUGGAUGAGAAUCGUGGAGCUAGUUGUGGAUUUGGGAUUAAUCUUUUUUCCUUCUAAAAGACUUGGAAGCAUUCCAAUUGCAGGUUAGCAUAGUUGAGGCCGAGCGUACAUGGAGAAGAGGCAUAAUCAAUAGUAAGUUCUAUUCUGGGGCUGCAAUGAUUGAUGUUGAUGUUGGGUGAUUCCUUGUUUAGCUUUGUGUCUUCAGUUAAGCAGGUAAUAUUCUCUAUAAAUA